rnacentral:rRNA from 1 species
CUGGCGGCGUGCCUAAUACAUGCAAGUCGAGCGGACCAAAUCGGAGCUUGCUCUGAUUUGGUCAGCGGCGGACGGGUGAGUAACACGUGGGCAACCUGCCCGCAAGACCGGGAUAACUCCGGGAAACCGGAGCUAAUACCGGAUAACACCGAAGACCGCAUGGUCUUUGGUUGAAAGGCGGCCUUUGGCUGUCACUUGCGGAUGGGCCCGCGGCGCAUUAGCUAGUUGGUGAGGUAACGGCUCACCAAGGCGACGAUGCGUAACCGGCCUGAGAGGGUGACCGGCCACACUGGGACUGAGACACGGCCCAGACUCCUACGGGAGGCAGCAGUAGGGAAUCUUCCGCAAUGGGCGAAAGCCUGACGGAGCGACGCCGCGUGAGCGAAGAAGGCCUUCGGGUCGUAAAGCUCUGCUGUGAGGGACGAAGGAGCGCCGUUCGAAGAGGGCGGCGCGGUGACGGUACCUCACGAGGAAGCCCCGGCUAACUACGUGCCAGCAGCCGCGGUAAUACGUAGGGGGCGAGCGUUGUCCGGAAUUAUUGGGCGUAAAGCGCGCGCAGGCGGUUCCUUAAGUCUGAUGUGAAAGCCCACGGCUCAACCGUGGAGGGUCAUUGGAAACUGGGGGACUUGAGUGCAGGAGAGGAGAGCGGAAUUCCACGUGUAGCGGUGAUAUGCGUAGAGAUGUGGAGGAACACCAGUGGCGAAGGCGGCUCUCUGGCCUGCAACUGACGCUGAGGCGCGAAAGCGUGGGGAGCAAACAGGAUUAGAUACCCUGGUAGUCCACGCCGUAAACGAUGAGUGCUAAGUGUUAGAGGGGUCACACCCUUUAGUGCUGCAGUUAACGGGAUAAGCACUCCGCCUGGGGAGUACGGCCGCAAGGCUGAAACUCAAAGGAAUUGACGGGGGCCCGCACAAGCGGUGGAGCAUGUGGUAUAAUUCGAAGCAACGCGAAGAACCUUGACAGGUCUUGACAUCCCAUGUCAACGCAAGAGAUUGGGCGUUCCCCUUUCGGGGGGACAGGGUGACAGGUGGUGCAUGGUUGUCGUCAGCUCGUGUUGUGAGAUGAUGGGUUAAGUCCCGCAACGAGCGCAACCCUCGCCUUUAGUUGCCAGCACGAAGGUGGGCACUAUAGAGGGACUGCCGGCGACAAGUCGGAGGAAGGUGGGGAUGACGUCAAAUCAUCAUGCCCGUUCUGUCCUGGGAUACACACGUGCUACAAUGGGCGGUACAAAGGGAUGCGAACCCGCGAGGGGGAGCGAAUCCCAAAAAGCCGCUCUCAGUUCGGAUUGCAGGCUGCAACUCGCUUGCAUGAAGCCGGAAUCGCUGGUAAUCGCGGAUCAGCAUGCCGCGGUGAAUACGUUCCCGGGCCUUGUACACACCGCCCGUCACACCACGAGAGCUUGCAACACCCGAAGUCGGUGAGGUAACCCUUACGAAAGCCAGCCGCCGAAGGUGGGGCAAGUGAUUGGGGU